GCCCCGGUAGCUCAGAUGGAUAGAGCAGCGGUUUCCUAAACCGUUGGUCGGAGGUUCGAAUCCUCUCCGGGGUACCA
rnacentral:tRNA from 1 species